CUAAACAGAGCAUAUUUUGGGAGUUACCUUAUUAGAAGCAUAAUCUUCUUCGACAUAACUUGGAUGUCAUGCAUAUUGAAAAGAACUUCUUUGAUAACCUGUUUCAUACUGUAAUGGAUGACAAGAAUAGGACAAAAGAUAACUUGAAGGCCAGGAUGGACUUACAGGAAUACAGGUGAAGAGAAUUAGAACUACGACAAGAAAAUAAUAGGAUGGUGAAGCCUAAGGCCAGUUAUUCAUUCAAAAUGGAUGACAAAUGAAAGAUCUAUGAUUGGGUUCGAAAUUUGAGAAUGCCUGAUGGGUAUGCUUCAAACUUAUCCAAUUGUGUUGACAUGAAAGAAGCAAAGCUGAUGUAUAUGAAAAGCCAUGAUUGUCACAUUUUCAUGGAAUCAUUACUUCCUAUUGCAUUUAGAUCAUUUCCAGAGAGAAUAUGGAAACUCAUCACAGAGAUAAGCUUAUUUUUCAAAGACCUAUGUUCUAAUACAUUGAGGGAGGAAAAUCUAGUUUUCAUGGAAAGUAACAUCCAUUUAAUUAUAAAUAAACUGGCAAAAAUUUUUCCAUGUGAUUUUUUCAAUACAAUGGAACAUCUUCCAAUUCAUCUUGUAAGAGAGGGACGACUUGGAGGGCCUGUUCAAUGUGGAUUGAUGUAUCCAUUUGAGAGGUAAUAACCAUUAAUUAUUUUUCCUUUAUGUGUUUUGAUUACACUUCUUCCCAUCUAAAAUUAUGCUAUGUUGGAUUGUUGGCAAAUGUAAACGGAUGAUGAAACAAAAAUCCAAGAUUGAGGGAUCAAUAUGUGAAGCAUAUCUAGUUAAAGAAACUUCUCAUUUCUGUUCAUAUUAUUUUGAGCAUCACGUGCCAUGUUUGAGAAAUAGGCCAAAUCGGCAUGACGAUGAAGGUGACAAUGAUCUUUUGGCACCGCCUAUAUCCAUAUUCAAUCAACCCGGUAGAAGUUCUAAGAAAUAUCAAAAAAGAAAUUGGACUGGGAUGGAGAAAAAGUCAGCUACAACACAUGUAUUGCUCAAUUGCCCCGAAGUUCAACAAUUUUACAAGAUAAUUUCAAACAAAUCUUGGAGGAGUUCAUUCAAGCCAGCCGAUUGAUGAUCAAGGUAGGCCAAUCCAACCAACCCAAGAGGAGAUCAUGGACAUGUGGAUUAGGGCAGCUAGUGGCAUGCAUAAGGGGAGAGUUUACGGCCUUGGAUCAGAGUUUAGUCUCGGUCGUCGCACUUCUGGAUUGGUUGGUUCUUAUUUUUUGUCAUAUUGCUCGGUUGAUCUGGAUGAGUUUGAGCAAUUGAAUAGGAAGGUAGCGAAGAUUACAAAAUUGUAUCUUCAAGAAAGGGCUGCAAAGGAAGACGAGGCAACGCGAAGGGAUGAAGAAGAUAGGCUAAGAGAGGAAGAAAUGAGGCGAAAGGACGAUGCAUUAAGACUUGUCACUAGUGAUGUUAAAAGUCUCAAGUCUCAGAUAAACUCCCUCUUAGAAUCUGGUGCAUUUCAUGUGCCCCGUUCUCCAGCAUCUGAUGAUAACUAAGGAGUAGUUUCUUUUAUUAGCUUGUCUUGGAUGGUAUUUGGAUGUUGAAUAUUGAAUGUUGGAUUUUUGAGUUUUUGUUCUACUUUUGGAUUAGUUGGAUUAAUUAUGAAAUGAAUUGAUUAGUUGUUGUUUAUGAAAUGAA